AUUGAACGCUGGCGGCAUGCCUUACACAUGCAAGUCGAACGGCAGCGCGGGGCAACCUGGCGGCGAGUGGCGAACGGGUGAGUAAUAUAUCGGAACAUACCCUAGAGUGGGGAUAACGUAGCGAAAGUUACGCUAAUACCGCAUACGCACUAAGGUGGAAAGUGGGGGAUCUUCGGACCUCAUGCUCAUGGAGUGGCCGAUAUCUGAUUAGCUAGUUGGUGAGGUAAAGGCUCACCAAGGCGACGAUCAGUAGCUGGUUUGAGAGAACGACCAGCCACACUGGAACUGAGACACGGUCCAGACUCCUACGGAGGCAGCAGUGGGGAAUUUUGGACAAUGGGGGCAACCCUGAUCCAGCAAUGCCGCGUGCGGGAAGAA
rnacentral:rRNA from 1 species